rnacentral:rRNA from 1 species
GCGAAAGCUAGUUGCAUAUCGACUAUGUCGGAUAAAGUUCUAGGUAGAAUUAUGAUAAUGACAUUAUCUGCCUAUGUGUCUUGACCAAAUUACGUGCCAGCAGUCGCGGUAAUACGUAGAAGACUAGUGUUAUUCAUCUUUAAUUGGUUUAAAGGGUACCCAGACGGUAAAUCAAGCACUAGUCUACUAGAGUUACUUACGAUGGGGCUUAAAGUACUAACGGUGUAGAGAUGAAAUGUUUUGAUACCGCUCUCGACGGCACAGGUAUGGGCGAAAGCAUCCCUUUAUGUGAUAACUGACGUUGAAGGACGAAGGCUUUGAAGCAAACAGGAUUAGGUACCCUAUUACCAAGCAGAAAAUGAUGAAUGUCAUAGAUUAGACAGUUUCUUCUAUAAAUGAAAGUGUAAGCAUUCCACCUCAAGAGUAAUUUGGCAACAUUGGAACUGAAAUCAUUAGACCGUUUCUGAAACCAGUAGUGAAGUAUGUCGUUUAAUUCGAUAAUCCGCGUAAAACCUUACCACAAUUUGAAUAGAUAUGUAU